AUUGAACGCUGGCGGCAUGCCUUACACAUGCAAGUCGGACGAGUGGCGAACGGGUGAGUAAUGCCUCGGAACGUACCGAGUAAUGGGGGAUAACUGCUCGAAAGGUUAGCUAAUACCGCAUACCAUCCGAUCUGCCGAUAUCUGAUUAGCUGGUAGGUGGGGUAAAGGCUCACCAAGGCCACGAUCCGUAGCUGGUCUGAGAGGAUGACCCGCCACACUGGGACUGAGACACGGCCCAGACUCCUACGGGUGGCAGCAGUGGGGAAUAUUGAACAAUGGGCACAAGCCUGAUGCAGCCAUGCCGCGUGUAUGAAGAAGGCCUUCGGGUUGUAAAGGACUUUUAGCAGGGAGGCGGUACCUGAAGAAGAAGCACCGGCUAACUACGUGCCAGCAGCCGCGGUAAUAC
rnacentral:rRNA from 1 species